rnacentral:rRNA from 1 species
GAGUUUGAUCGUGCUCAGAGCGAACGCUGGCGGCAGGCCUAAUACAUGCAAGUCGAGCGGCCCUUCGGGGCAGCGGCGGACGGGUGAGUAACGCGUGGGAACGUGCCCUUUGGUUCGGAACAACACAGGGAAACUUGUGCUAAUACCGAAUGUGCCCUUCGGGGAAAGAUUUAUCGCCAUUGGAGCGGCCCGCGUUGGAUUAGCUAGUUGGUGGGGUAAAGGCCCACCAAGGCGACGAUCCAUAGCUGGUCUGAGAGGAUGAUCAGCCACACUGGGACUGAGACACGGCCCAGACUCCUACGGGAGGCAGCAGUAGGGAAUCUUGCGCAAUGGGCGAAAGCCUGACGCAGCCAUGCCGCGUGAAUGAUGAAGGUCUUAGGAUUGUAAAAUUCUUUCACCGGGGAAGAUAAUGACGGUACCCGGAGAAGAAGCCCCGGCUAACUUCGUGCCAGCCGCCGCGGUAAC